GACGAACGCUGGCGGCGUGCCUAAUACAUGCAAGUCGAGCGAAUCAGUAGGAGCUUGCUCCUAUUGGUUAGCGGCGGACGGGUGAGUAACACGUGGGCAACCUGCCUGUAAGACUGGGAUAACUUCGGGAAACCGGAGCUAAUACCGGAUAAUCCUUUUCCUCUCAUGAGGAAAAGCUGAAAGACGGUUUCGGCUGUCACUUACAGAUGGGCCCGCGGCGCAUUAGCAGUUGGUGAGGUAAUGGCUCACCAAGGCAACGAUGCGUAGCCGACCUGAGAGGGUGAUCGGCCACACUGGGACUGAGACACGGCCCAGACUCCUACGGGAGGCAGCAGUAGGGAAUCUUCCACAAUGGACGAAAGUCUGAUGGAGCAACGCCGCGUGAGCGAU
rnacentral:rRNA from 1 species